UUGCUUGAUGACAAGAAAAAUGCAGAUGAUAGAGUCUUUGAGAAGAAUGGUGUUCAGCUGGUGGUUGAUGACAUCUCCUAUGACUUUAUGAAAGCAUGACUAGAGGAUGUAGUAUGGGUGGCAGAGGAUGUAGUAGAGCCAAUACUCCUCAUAUGGUAGGGGAACCUUCUCUUAGACCUCCACUAUCCUCAUCAGAUCCACCAUCUUUGGAAGCAUCUGUUCUUGGAUCAUAUACUCGGGGACCAUCCAAUAGGACUCCAUCGAUGCCACAUGAUCCAUCUCCAGAGGAUGAACGUGUAUUAGAUGAAAGUGUUGCUCAAGAGCAUAUGGACCUUCCAGACGAUGGUGGAACAUUAAUCACUAUUAUCUCAAACAGGAGAGUUUAUCCAAAAUUGUGACAAGAUGGAUUUCAGAUUUAAUUCAUACACAUAUAUCAUGUCCAGAGACCACUUUUAGAAAAUAGUCACAAGCUGUCAAAGACUUAGUUUUUCAGCAGUUCAUGGAUGUUUAUCAAUUUAGAACAAGAGCUGAUGAGGUUUUGACAAGGCAAGUUUUUGAGAAAUGUGUUUCAGAUCGACUUAGUGAUAUUCUAAGUGAGGAGAGGAGAAAAAUAAAAGGAAGAAAGAAAACCGAUGACAUUGCAAACUGUAAGGGGCGUGGUCCAAGGUAUAUACCAGGUGCAAUUUGGGAUCAUUUGGUAGAUAAAUGGGUUGAUCCUGAUUGGAAAAAGAAAUCUGUUAUUGCUUCUAAUAAUAGAUGUGUUACCGAUGAUGCUGGUCUACAUGUUGGAGGUUCAUGUAGUUUAGAAACACCCAGACUUCGGCUUGUACGCAAUCAUUCAAACUCAUGCAAUUCUGUUCAUUUCAAUAUA